rnacentral:rRNA from 1 species
CGUGCUUAACACAUGCAAGUCGAACGAUGAAGCCGGAGCUUGCUCUGGUGAAUUAGUGGCGAACGGGUGAGUAACGCGUGGGAACGUGCCCUUCAGUUCGGGAUAACCCAGGGAAACUUGGGCUAAUACCGGAUACGUGCGAGAGCAGAAAGAUUUAUCGCUGAAGGAUCGGCCCGCGUCUGAUUAGCUAGUUGGUGGGGUAAUGGCCCACCAAGGCGACGAUCAGUAGCUGGUCUGAGAGGAUGAUCAGCCACAUUGGGACUGAGACACGGCCCAAACUCCUACGGGAGGCAGCAGUGGGGAAUAUUGGACAAUGGGCGCAAGCCUGAUCCAGCCAUGCCGCGUGAGUGAUGAAGGCCUUAGGGUUGUAAAGCUCUUUCGUCCGGGACGAUAAUGACGGUACCGGAGGAAGAAGCCCCGGCUAACUUCGUGCCAGCAGCCGCCGUAA